rnacentral:rRNA from 1 species
UACAGAGGUCUCAAGCGUUGUUCGGAUUCAUUGGGCGUAAAGGGUGCGUAGGUGGCGCGGUAAGUCGGGUGUGAAAUUUCGGAGCUUAACUCCGAAACUGCAUUCGAUACUGCCGUGCUUGAGGACUGGAGAGGAGACUGGAAUUUACGGUGUAGCGGUGAAAUGCGUAGAUAUCGUAAGGAAGACCAGUGGCGAAGGCGGGUCUCUGGACAGUUCCUGACGCUGAGGCACGAAGACCAGGGGAGCAAACGGG